rnacentral:rRNA from 1 species
CCUACGGGUGGCAGCAGUGGGGAAUAUUGGGCAAUGGGCGCAAGCCUGACCCAGCAACGCCGCGUGAAGGAAGAAGGCUUUCGGGUUGUAAACUUCUUUUGUCAGGGACGAAGCAAGUGACGGUACCUGACGAAUAAGCCACGGCUAACUACGGGCCAGCAGCCGCGGCAAUACGUAGGUGGCAAGCGUUAUCCGGAUUUAAUGGGUGUAAAGGGCGUGUAGGCGGGGAAGGAAGUCAGAUGUGAAAACCACGGGCUCAACCUGUGGCCUGCAUUUGAAACUGUUUUUCUUGAGUGCAGGAGAGGCAAUCGGAAUUCCGGGUGUAGCGGUGAAAUGCGUAGAGAUACGGAGGAACACCGGUUGCGAAGGCAGAUUGCUGGACAGUAACUGACGCUGAGGCGCGAAAGCGUGGGGAGCAAACAGGAUUAGAUACCCUGGUAGUC